GGGGGACAGAAAAAAAAGCAACCUGGUGAAAGCAAUUAUGACGAGCUGGAAGGAGAAUGUCAGUCCUUAGGCCCUCGGAACCUCCCUCUUGGCUGUUGUCGGCUCCACCUUCUAAAUGGCCCAGGGUUGGGGGUUGGGGGGCGGUGUCAGGCUCCGUCCCAGCUCUGAGUUGGUUCUGUCUGCUGCAGCCCACCUCCGGUUCGGACUAUAUCAGUGCCCUCGCCCUACAACUUCUGUUCUGGACUUUUUGAAGUAGUUCUUAGGAGAAGUGGAAGGAGAUUAGCUUUUAUCUCUUUUCAUCUUGCUUCAUAAUUCUCCUCUCCCACGUUUUUCUUAAACGGGAAACCUAGGCUGAGGAUUCCAUCAGCACUAGAAGAGUACUGAGAGGAGGGUCCCAGACACAAGAACCUCUUCCCCUUGACAAGAUUAAAAGACGAAGCACCAUGGGAAAGGUGGUUUUAUGGUUUCCACCCCUAGGCGCACCUGGAAGUCUCUGGGAAAGCCCACCCGAGAAGCUCGGUGGGGGCUGGGCGCCCUCCUCCUCCAUUCCCAGCCUGCAACCGCUUCUAAUUGAGGCUUGCCCUCAGGUAGCAGAGACGCGUCGCGUGAGCCUGGACAUCGGAGCCCGCGGAGGGAGGGGCCGUCGCCUUGUCCCCUCGCACAGCGGGACUGGCAGGCUGCAGCACCUGUGUGCCUCCUUCCCCAGCUAGCACUUCUCGGUGCUGCACGCUUUGCAGUGAGCAGUGAGAGGUUAUUUGGUGAGCAUCAGUCAGAACUAGAAGUCAAGACUGGACAGGUCUGAGGAAGUGCGGUGCUCUGUCCGCACAGUGCUGUAAGGCUUCACCAGUCAGGGCUCGGUGUGCGCCUUGUCCAUGAUCGCCACUGAGCUUUCGAGAACUUCAGCUGCACACAGACGCCCCAGCUUCCAGCCCUCAUCGCCUUUUAGUUCUCUCUAUGACUGCCACACAAGCACAUCAUGUACAACACCAUGUGGAUGGUGUACUUCUCGCUCUCUGCCCCCUUGAUGCGGACUCUGCUGCCGAAUGUAUCUGUCUCCACGAUGAGCUUGGCUGGGACCAAGACAGAGCUAGACCCAGCUCAGCAUGUAUCAGGGACCAAUAUCCUAGACAGAAGGGACCAGCCUGUAAAGGUCAGGAGUUGCAAGGCCUCUAGGAGAAUAAGAACAUCUUUGCAUCCUACCCUAGAGAAACUUGACACCAGCACUUGUGGCCACUGAGGAACACAGGUCCUGAGCCAGUCCUGAGCCGAAAAGUUACUGGAGGAGAAAGCUCUAUACCUGACACAGUGACCUGCAAUGGGAAGAAGACAUCAGGGCAACAUAGAAGACACAGGCAGAUCUGAGAAGGGUGAUGGGAAGAAGCUGUUAGCUGUUGAGGCUGGAGGACUCACUCCUGUUCCAGCCUUCUCCUCCUUCUUGGGAGACACCCACCGUGCUGAGCAAGAGUUUACAGCUGUCCUUCUUCUCGCCUUGGCCUCUAAAGGUGCAAGUCUGCUUUUCCUGAUUGAGUUCACUACCUGCACAGCGAAGACAGCCGUAUGGGGCUGGGAGGCUCAUGAGUUCCUCCCCGUUCUAGA
rnacentral:lncRNA from 1 species